GUUUUAAUAGUUUAAACAAAACAUUGGUCUUGUAAAUCGAAAAUAAGAUUUUUCUUUUAAAACU
rnacentral:tRNA from 1 species